AGUGAACGCUGGCGGUAGGCCUAACACAUGCAAGUCGAACGGCAGCACAGUAAGAGCUUGCUCUUACGGGUGGCGAGUGGCGGACGGGUGAGGAAUACAUCGGAAUCUACUUUUUCGUGGGGGAUAACGUAGGGAAACUUACGCUAAUACCGCAUACGACCUACGGGUGAAAGCAGGGGAUCUUCGGACCUUGCGCGAUUGAAUGAGCCGAUGUCGGAUUAGCUAGUUGGCGGGGUAAAGGCCCACCAAGGCGACGAUCCGUAGCUGGUCUGAGAGGAUGAACAGCCAAACUGGAACUGAGACACGGUCCAAGCUCCUACGGGGAGCAGCAGUGGGGAAUAUUGGACAAUGGGCGGAAGGCUGAUCCAGCCAUACCGGGUGGGUGAAGAAGGCCUUCGGGUUGUAAAGCCCUUUUGUUGGGAAAGAAAAGCAGCAGGUUAAUACCCCGCUGUUCUGACGGUACCCAAAGAAUAAGCACCGGCUAACUUCGUG
rnacentral:rRNA from 1 species